UUUCUUGAAGACUUCCUGUCUAUUUUAUCAUUAAUCAUCGCCUGGGUCGCGAGAAAUGAAGCUUUUAGCGAAGAAGCAACCUGCAGCUCCUCCAUAAGGGAUUUUCAGCCACAAUGUAGACUAACUGAACUGCUUGAAAAUCCCCACUUGGAGGAGGCAGACCAGUGGCCUGGGCUAUUUACAGAGCACAGCCGAGGAGUUGAACUACGGGCAACCGAGAACAAAUCCUGUGAGUGGCAGGGUAGAGGACUUUAGCUCGGGACAUCGGAUUACAAGUUCAGCACCCUGACAACUCGGCCACGCCGCCUCCUCCUUAAAAUUAGAACAACUGUAGAAGUUGAGUAAACAAAUUUAGAAAUCGAUGGAUGCAUAGGAGUAAGUUUAAUAAGUUCAUACAGGAACAACGAGUACAAUAAAUGGUUACUAUUACUUUCCAUGACGCUUAUCACAUGAUUAGAACUGAUCUUUCUUUUCUCUCUAUCGCAACGAUGCUUUCUCAUUUCUUUGUUCUGACCUCUAAAACUUAUCAUACAUUCUUAAUUUCAUCAAUUCAAAUAAACGUAUUAUUUGGCUGGUCACCAAUUAUCUCGCCUUGUAAAAUAUUUCAAAGUGGAAGAGAGUUCUAGCGAUAGGGAAAGGGUCGGGGUUAUGUGCGAAUUCACAUCAGUUAAAGAAUUCUACAAUACUUUGUUUUAUAGCCUGGAAGGCGUUUAUGUAAGGGGGGGGGGGGGAAUUUGGGAAAUUCUUUCGGGCUGUAAUUAUUUUGGUAUGUUAAUGGUUCCGUCACGAGAGACUGCUUGAAUAAUUUGAAAAUAUUCUACGAACACAAUUAUCAGCUUCUCUUUGCAUUUUUUGAGUUUUCUGGCCAUAGCCAGUAAAGCUCCAUGUCAAUGGCUUGGUUAGUAAGUGGGUAGGUAAUUCGGUAAGUAAGUGAAUGAGUAAGCAAGUAAAGGGAUUCAAGUAAAUAAGUGAGGGUAACGAAGAGAGAACGCUGCAAAUAUGAGCGCAUCUAGAGAGCCAGUGGCCUUGAAUUAGACAGAUUGGCGUUUACUUGGGCGAGAAAUCAUGCAAAUCAUGUAACGGAGCAGGCAAGAGGAUAUUAUUAAACGAACUUGAUUAAUGAGAAUAACACUGGCCACCAAAGUCUCAUUAAUGCAGUCAACCGCCCGUCUGGGGGAUCUCGUGACGAACUCUAUCCACCUCAUACGAACCUUGCCGGUCUAGCUAACGAAUCUGGUCAGUUUUUUGUCUGAAAGAUCAGGAACAUUCCUGAUCUGCAAUCGGCUUGUCGGCAGUUCCUCAGCACAGAGAUUGUUUUACAUCGUGUUCCAUAUGACAUCUUACAUAACAUUAACCAGCAUCAUGUAAUGCACCAAUCAAUGGUUUGCCCCAGGAUGGGGGGAGGGGGACGGGCAACCCGCGGGAAUUAGACGUCGUAAAGCGCACGUGGGUGGGGAUUUAGACAUCCACAAGGGUCCCCCAGGGUGGAAAUUUGACUUGACAGCCAUCUAAGUGGAGAGGAACUGGGAAUGAGUGAGUUGUCUGCCAUCUUGGAAAAUACCCAGAGGUCAUUUGAGCGAGGGAUGGCCGUACGAAAGGUUGUGCUGUGGUCUACCCACCUAACGAUUGUUCAGGACAACAGAAAGAGGGGAGCAGCAAAGGCAGCCCAAACAAGGAAAAAGAAAGGCUCAUCAAAGGAAUUCACGUGGCGAAAGUGGUAUGGUGAGCCUCACCCAAAUGGAUGCUUUCGAAGGCUGCUCGCUGACAUCGCUGAACAGUAUCCCCUUUAAGGGAAUCAGUCUAAACCAUUGUAUUCGUACGGGACCCAACACGUAGGAAAAAAAGGUCGUCUCUUUCUGCUGCCAUCAUCCCGCACCCUCAAAGUAGGCUUGGUUCCAUACCCCCACACCGGAGUAAAUCUAUCUGAGUGUGUUGUUUUA
rnacentral:misc_RNA from 1 species